AUUACCGCUAUAUCAUAUGGACGUGUAUCGCUUAGCAGAAAGUGAAGAAGACUUAGGCUUUGAUGAGUAUUUCUACGGUGAAGGAAUUACGGUAGUAGAAUGGGCCCAUUUAAUAGAAGCAUAUUUACCAAAUGAGAAGUUACAAAUUAGUUUAUUCCAUGCUGGAGAUGACACAAGAAACAUUGUACUCGAGCCAAUUGGAGAUCGCUAUAUUAGAUUAUGUGAGGAGCUAUUACAAGAUGAAAGUACUAGCAAUUGAUACUUCAAAUUACGUAAUGGGUGUAUCCCUUAUUGAAGAAGGAAACGUAAUUGGGGAAAUCAUUACAAAUUUAACAAAAAAUCAUUCUGUGCGUCUUAUGCCAGCUGUAGAACAACUGUUAAAAGAAUGUGGUGUAAAACCGAAAGAAUUAACUAAAAUAGUUGUAGCUGCUGGACCAGGGUCAUAUACAGGUGUUCGUAUAGGUGUGACAGCUGCUAAAACAUUAGCUUGGUCACUUCAAAUACCAAUUGUAGGUGUAUCAAGUUUAGAAGUAGUGGCUGCAAACGGAGCUAAUUUUGAUGGGUUAAUCUGUCCUUUAUUCGAUGGAAGACGUGGACAAAUUUAUACUGGCUUAUAUACAUAUGAAGGAGAGGAUUUAACUUCUAUAGAAGAAGACCGAAUCAUCCUUAUUGUAGACUGGUUGCAAAUGUUAAAAGAUAAAGGAAAGUCUGUUUUAUUUAUUGGUAACGAUGUGAAACUACACAAAGAAACAAUUAUUGAACAGUUAGGCGAUCAAGCUGUAUUUGCUCCUUUCACUAAAAAUAACCCAAGACCAAGUGAGCUAGCGUUCUUAGGAUUACAAAAAGAAGAACAAGAUGUACAUUCAUUUGUUCCUAGUUACCUUCGUUUAGCUGAGGCUGAAACAAAGUGGUUAGAAAGUCAAAACAAGUAGGAGCUUGCAGAGGAUGGAUAUGAUAUUUAGAAAGAUGGAACUCGAUGAUAUUGCUCAAAUUGUAGCUAUUGAAGAAGCAUCUUUUUCAACUCCUUGGACUGCAGAUGCCUUUCACCGUGAGUUAACGAUGAAUGAACAUGCACAUUAUGUUGUGCUAGAAAAAGAUGGUCGUGUAAUUGGGUAUUGUGGAUUGUGGAUAAUUAUUGAUGAAUCGCAUAUAACAAAUAUAGCUAUUUUGCCAGAAUAUAGAGGUCAAAAGCUAGGAGAUGCUUUAUUAAAAGAAGUUAUUUCCGAAGCGAAAACUCUAGGUGUAAAAACGAUGACACUUGAAGUACGUGUAUCAAAUGAAGUAGCAAAACAGUUAUACAGAAAAUACGGAUUUCAAAAUGGUGGAAUUCGUAAACGAUACUAUGCAGACAAUCAGGAAGAUGGUCUCGUAAUGUGGGUGAAUAUAUAAUGGAAAAAAAUACGAUUAUACUUGGUAUUGAAACAAGUUGUGAUGAAACAGCAGUAGCGGUUGUUAAAAAUGGAACGGAAAUUAUUGCGAAUGUCGUUGCAUCUCAAAUUGAAAGUCAUAAACGUUUUGGCGGAGUUGUACCAGAGAUUGCAUCCCGUCAUCAUGUAGAAGAAAUUACAGUUGUGUUAGAAGAAGCUUUAAAAGAAGCAAAUAUCACAUUUGAUGAUAUUGAUGCAAUUGCUGUAACAGAAGGUCCUGGUUUAGUAGGAGCGCUUUUAAUAGGGGUAAAUGCAGCGAAAGCAGUGGCUUUUGCACAUGAUAUCCCUCUAGUGGGUGUUCAUCAUAUCGCUGGCCACAUUUAUGCGAAUCGUUUAGUAAAAGAAGUUCAAUUCCCAUUGCUAUCACUUGUGGUAUCUGGUGGACAUACAGAGCUUGUUUAUAUGAAAGAACAUGGUUCAUUUGAAGUAAUUGGUGAAACGCGAGAUGAUGCAGCAGGAGAGGCAUAUGAUAAAGUAGCUCGUACGUUAUCUAUGCCAUAUCCAGGUGGUCCCCAUAUUGAUCGUCUUGCACAUGAAGGGAAACCAACAAUCGAUUUACCUCGUGCAUGGCUGGAACCUGAUUCAUAUGAUUUCAGUUUUAGCGGAUUAAAAUCAGCAGUUAUCAACACUGUGCAUAACGCAAAACAACGCGGGAUAGAAAUUGCACCGGAAGAUUUAGCAGCAAGUUUCCAAGAGAGUGUAAUUGAUGUGUUAGUAACGAAAGCAUCUCGUGCAGCAGAUGCUUAUAACGUAAAGCAAGUGCUUCUUGCUGGUGGAGUAGCUGCGAAUAAAGGACUUCGUGCACGUUUAGAAGCAGAAUUUGCACAAAAAGAAAAUGUAGAGCUAAUUAUUCCUCCUCUAUCUUUAUGCACAGAUAAUGCAGCAAUGAUUGCAGCGGCAGGUACAAUUGCAUAUGAACAAGGAAAACGUGCUACAUUAGCUUUAAAUGCUAAUCCGGGAUUAGAUAUCGAAGCAUAGUUAUACACAAAAUUAACCACAGCUUGUGGAUAAAACCCAUAUUAUCUGUUGAUAAUAUGGGUUUUAUUGUGUAUAUAAAAUGUUGAUAACUUUUUUAUUAAUUGUGGAUAAUGUGGAAAAGUUAUUUGGAUGUUUAUUUUAUAAAGGUGGAUAUGUGUAUAAACUUGUGGAUAAAAUAGAUGAAGUCUGACCUUUAAAUCUAUCCUUUUUCGGGAAAUAAAAACGAAGAAGGUAUUUCUAAAAAACAUUUUGAAAUAUGCUCUUAUUAUAGGAGGUGUUAAUAUUGUCAAACUUUGUCGGGAAAUCGUUAUUUCGUAUCGAAUCGUUGAUAUAUAGGGCUACAAUAGAUAUAUUUGAAAAAUCGUUGUUAUAUUCUAAGUUACGAUUGAUAUAUUCAAAAAAUUAUUUAUGUACUAAAAGAAAAAGAUGUCGCAUAGUCAAAAAUCCUGACUUAUGAGACAUCAUCCUUAUUUAAAUAUAUUUAUACAUGCAGCUCUUCCCAUUCUGCCAUACAAGCAUCAAGUUGUUCUUGUAGCGUUUGCUUUUUCGUUGUAAUUUCACUAGCUUUUUCAUAAUCUGCAUAUAUUUCUGGUAGGCAAAGUUGAUCUUCUAACGUAGCAAUUUCUUCUUCUAAUUCCACUAUAUUUUGUUCUAGCUCUUCAAUUUUUCUAGUGCGUUGACGCUCUAGUUUUUUACGCUCUUUUUCUUCUAAAUAAUUUAAUUUCUCUUGUGCAACCACCUUUUGAACAGGAACGUCAUUUUCUUGCUGUUCAAGUUCUGCACGUUCAAUCAUUUCAUUUUUCUUUUCAACGUAGUAAUCGUAAUCCCCUAAAUAUUCCUGUACCACCUCUUUAUCGUUUGAGCAAUGGAGGGACGCAGAAGGAUAGAAGAAGCGUGCGAUUGGUUGUGCACGUCCAAGCAGUUAGGCUGAUAAGUAGGCAAAUCNNNNNNNNNNNNNNNNNNNNNUGUGAUGGGGAAGCUCCUUAUGGAGCGAAGUCUUUGAUUCCCCGCUGCCAAGAAAAGCUUCUAGCGAGAUAAAAGGUGCCUGUACCGCAAACCGACACAGGUAGGCGAGGAGAGAAUCCUAAGGUGUGCGAGAGAACUCUGGUUAAGGAACUCGGCAAAAUGACCCCGUAACUUCGGGAGAAGGGGUGCUUUCUUAACGGAAAGCCGCAGUGAAUAGGCCCAAGCGACUGUUUAGCAAAAACACAGCUCUCUGCGAAGCCGUAAGGCGAAGUAUAGGGGGUGACACCUGCCCGGUGCUGGAAGGUUAAGGAGAGGGGUUAGCGUAAGCGAAGCUCUGAACUGAAGCCCCAGUAAACGGCGGCCGUAACUAUAACGGUCCUAAGGUAGCGAAAUUCCUUGUCGGGUAAGUUCCGACCCGCACGAAAGGUGUAACGAUUUGGGCACUGUCUCAACCAGAGACUCGGUGAAAUUAUAGUACCUGUGAAGAUGCAGGUUACCCGCGACAGGACGGAAAGACCCCGUGGAGCUUUACUGUAGCCUGAUAUUGAAUUUUGGUACAGUUUGUACAGGAUAGGCGGGAGCCUUUGAAACCGGAGCGCUAGCUUCGGUGGAGGCGCUGGUGGGAUACCGCCCUGACUGUAUUGAAAUUCUAACCUACGGGUCUUAUCGACCCGGGAGACAGUGUCAGGUGGGCAGUUUGACUGGGGCGGUCGCCUCCUAAAGUGUAACGGAGGCGCCCAAAGGUUCCCUCAGAAUGGUUGGAAAUCAUUCGUAGAGUGCAAAGGCAUAAGGGAGCUUGACUGCGAGACCUACAAGUCGAGCAGGGACGAAAGUCGGGCUUAGUGAUCCGGUGGUUCCGCAUGGAAGGGCCAUCGCUCAACGGAUAAAAGCUACCCCGGGGAUAACAGGCUUAUCUCCCCCAAGAGUCCACAUCGACGGGGAGGUUUGGCACCUCGAUGUCGGCUCAUCGCAUCCUGGGGCUGUAGUCGGUCCCAAGGGUUGGGCUGUUCGCCCAUUAAAGCGGUACGCGAGCUGGGUUCAGAACGUCGUGAGACAGUUCGGUCCCUAUCCGUCGUGGGCGUAGGAAAUUUGAGAGGAGCUGUCCUUAGUACGAGAGGACCGGGAUGGACGCACCGCUGGUGUACCAGUUGUUCUGCCAAGGGCAUAGCUGGGUAGCUAUGUGCGGAAGGGAUAAGUGCUGAAAGCAUCUAAGCAUGAAGCCCCCCUCAAGAUGAGAUUUCCCAUAGCGUAAGCUAGUAAGAUCCCUGAAAGAUGAUCAGGUUGAUAGGUUCGAGGUGGAAGCAUGGUGACAUGUGGAGCUGACGAAUACUAAUAGAUCGAGGACUUAACCAU
rnacentral:rRNA from 1 species